CUCAUCUACAACAAAAGGGGAACUACAAACCCUAAAUCUCCUUCACUUCUUUCAUCUGAUCUCAUUCAUCUCGUUAUCUGAUCUUCUUCAUCGAUUUUAUCUGAUCCCAUCAUAUCUCAACUGAUCUUCGUUACUUUUGGUAAUAAAAAGAAAGGUGUUAUUCAGGAUUUUGGUUUCAUCAACUGUAGUGUCGUUUGUUUUUCGUCGAUUUUGUCUCGCAAAAGCACAUACAAGGUCAUUGUGUUCCUGUCCACUGAGUCAGAUAUGUUUUAACGAGCUAUAUCCUUGCCAAGUAGUUCGUCAGCAAAUAUUACCAAACUUCUCCCUUGAAUAUGUUUGGGAGUGACGGACUGCAUAAUGUUGCUAUGGGCAGAGGUGGAUUGGAAAUUGUUCCUAGAUCCCUUUUGCAUAUUGAUGUAAAAUUUAUCUGCAUCAAAUGGACAUUGUUCUUUGGCAUCUAUGUACAAUGUUUUCCAGUGUAUGUCAGGAGAGCCUGGAGGAUCAAAGUUGCAUGUUGGAGGUCUUUCUUAUAAUACCGAUGACCGGCAACUUAAGGAAAAAUGUGACAGCUUUGGUGAAGUUACUGACGGGUCUUGGUGGGAUGUCUAUCUGUGAAAGCUAUGCUAAUGAGAGACCUCCGUACUGGUGGAAAAUUUGAGGGGUCUUAUUGAUUUCUCGAAGUUCGCAUCUUGGAACAUUUCCCAUUAUGUACAACUUACCAUUCAACUUCUACUGAACAUGUUAUUAUUGCUGAAUGAACGUCAUAUAUUGUACAAUAGAUGUAUAUGUAUGUAUUUGUUUUUAGUUCAAGGUUGUAAAUGAACUGAGUAAAGUAAAUGAUGCAAAGUU